GCCAGGCAUGGUGGCAUGUGCCUGUAGUCCUAGCUUCUCAAGAGGCUGAGACAGGAGAAUCACUUGAGCUCAGGGGUUCAAGGCUGCAGUGAGCCAUGAUGGCACCACUGCACUCUAGCCUUGGCAACAGAGUAAGACUUUGUCUCUU
ensembl:misc_RNA Metazoa_SRP Metazoan signal recognition particle RNA